AGCUUUUUGAAUCCGUGCUGAGAUUUCGUCAGACACUAACCUAUUUAAGCUGAUCAAACUCCCAAGAUAAGUGAAGUU
rnacentral:pre_miRNA from 1 species